AGAGUCUUUCUCUCCUUAUCCCCCGAGCAUUUCGGUCCCUCGUGAUUCGACUUCUCUUUCUGUAGUUUUAGUAUAGUAAGGUGAGCGCUGAAGCGCUGCACGAAUCUUUCUUAGAAAGAUUCAGCGACGAAGUUCUGCCCCUACAGAGCCCGACUCCUAGCUAAAAUCCCCUUGUAAGUUUCGUCGAAGGAAAUUAUUUUAAAGUAAACGAAGCGCUGUCCGAGUACCGAGUCACCACCUUCUCAAGUGUUGAUAUGAAGUGACACUACACUGAGAGAUUUAAAGAGAUGUAGAUCACUAGUGUAAAUAAUUGUCGUUCGUAAGAAGAGAUCGGCGUGACUGUACACACGCAUCAAAGAUGUUCAUUUCCGUAGUUUUGUAAACUUAACCCUGAUAUUGGAUGACUUCAAUAAAAUGAAUGUUACAUAAUGGUUUUUGAAGCAAAUGUUUAACUCUUUAUUCUAUUUUAAAAAUGAAAAAUCUCUUUUUAACUUUUGGGACAUUACAAAUCUUCAUAAAUGGUCACUGCAGUUUCAAUUUUAUUGUGGUUCGUACAUUCUUUAUAUUGCACAAUUAAAAAAACAAAAUAUAAAUACUACCCCUACCCCUACCGCCACCCCCACUCCUAUCUUACAAUGCUCAUCUUCAAGAGAGGGCCGCCGUCGGUCAACGUUGCCGUUGUCGAACUUCCGCUGUUAAUAGAGCACCUCGGGAAUUACAACCACUACUAACGUCAUCUUCACCAACCUUCUUCACCUUCUUUGGCAUUAGUUUCAACCCACAACACAAACAACCAAAUAUCAUCCUUAUUCUUCCUUUCAACACCUUCAAAUGACCACUAACGGCCACCCUUCCCACCCCUAUCAGCCACAUGUAAUACCCCCAUCCAUCAGCAAGGGUACACGACAGUCCUCCAGUGCACCAAGCGCUAACGAUGUUUUUUUGAAGAAGAAAGAAGUGAGAUGUGUGUGUAUGGAGAUGAAUGUGACUGCCUUAUCGGUU